rnacentral:rRNA from 1 species
AACGAACGCUGGCGGCAUGCCUAACACAUGCAAGUCGAACGAGACCUUCGGGUCUAGUGGCGCACGGGUGCGUAACGCGUGGGAACCUGCCCUUAGGUUCGGAAUAACUCCCCGAAAGGGGUGCUAAUACCGGAUAAUGUCUUCGGACCAAAGAUUUAUCGCCUUUGGAUGGGCCCGCGUUGGAUUAGCUAGUUGGUAGGGUAAAAGCCUACCAAGGCGACGAUCCAUAGCUGGUCUGAGAGGAUGAUCAGCCACCCUGGGACUGAGACACGGCCCAGACUCCUACGGGAGGCAGCAGUGGGGAAUAGUGGAAAAUGGGCGAAAGCCUGAUCCAGCAAUGCCGCGUGAGUGAUGAAGGCCUUAGGGUUGUAAAGCUCUUUUACCCGGGAUGAUAAUGACAGUACCGGGAGAAUAAGCUCCGGCUAACUCCGUG